rnacentral:lncRNA from 1 species
CUGCUAGUUUCCUACCCAAAGUCUACUAAACCAUAUUCUUAACUAAUAAAACCUGUAAAUUUCUAGGUGCAGAAAAAAAAUGUCUGGCUUUCCUUCCUGAUGGGGUGGCCAGUGAAAUGUCAGCAAAUGCAUUGGAUGAGAUUGCUGGAAAACAUCUUUGCUCCUGUCCCUUCUUUCUUAAAUAGAACAUGGGCAGGAUAGCUGGAGGCUCAGCAGCCUUGUCUGUGGACCUGAGGUGACCUUAAGGAAAAGCACUAAUAAGGAUGGAGAAAUUAAAAACAAAAACAGCCUGUGACAUAGAAGGCAUCACAGCACCACCACACUGGCCCUCGGCUACUUACAUUUAGGUUGGUGCAAAGGUAAUCACGCUUUUUGUCAUUAAUUUCAACAGCAAAAACCAAUAUUACCUCCAGUCAGCGAGGGUGGUCCCAGUGUGUCCGAAAUUGGUGGGUUCUUGGUCUCACAGCCUUCAAGAAUGAAGCCGCAGACCCUCACAGUGAGUGUUACAGUUCUUAAAGGUGGCAUGUCCUGAGUUUGUUCCUUCUGACGUUCCAGCCUGUUCAGAGUUUCUUCCUUCUGGUGGGUUCGUGGUCUCGCUGGCUCAAAAGUGAAGCUGCAGAUCUUCGGGUGUUAACAGCUCUUAAGUUGGGGCGUCUGGAGUUGUUUGUUCUUCCCAGUGGGUUCUUUGUCUCGCUGGCUUCAGGACUGAACCUGUAAAUCUUCACCAUGAGUGUUACAGCUCAUAAAUGCAGUGUAAACCCAAAGAGUGGGCAGUAGCAAGAUUUAUUGCAAAGAGCUAAAGAACAAAACUUACACUGUGGCAGGCCACUCUAGCAACUUGCUAGUGCUAGCGCGGAGCAGCCUGCUUUUAUUCUCUUAUCUGGCCCCACCCACAUCCUGCUGAUUGGUCCAUUUUACAGAGAGCCGAUUGGUCUGUUUUACAGAGAGCUGAUUGGUCCAUUUUGACAGAGUGCUGAUUGGUGCGUUUACAAUCCCUGAGUUCGACACAAAAGUUCUCCACGGCCCCACUAAAUUAGCUAGAAACAGAGUGUCGAUUGGUGCAUUCACAAACCCUGAGCUAGACACAGGGUGCUGAUUGGUGUGUUUACAAACCUUGAGCUAGAUACAGAGUGCUGAUUGGUGCAUUCACAAUCCCCCAGCUAGACAUAAAGAUUCUCCAAGUCCCCACCAGACUCAGGAGUCCAGCUGGCUUCAUCCAGUGGAUCUCACACCGGGGCCGCAGGUGGAGCUGCCUGCCACUCCGUCGCCGUGCGCUGGCACUCCUCAGACCUUGGGCAGUGGAUGGGAUCGGGCGCCGUGGAACAUGGGGCAGCGCUCGUCGGGGAGACUCAGGCCCGGCAGGAGCAUCUGGCAGUGCGGAGGGAGACUCAGGCAUGGCAGGCUGCAGGUCCCCAGCCCUGCCCGAGGGGAGGCAGCUAAGGCACGGCAAGAAAUCCAGCACAGAGCCGGUGGGCCGGCACUGCUGGGGGACCCGGCACACCCUCCGCAGCUGCUGGCCCGGGUAGUAAGCUCCUCACUGCCCGGGACUUGCGAGCCGGCCUGCGGCUCCCAGUGUGAGGCCCGCUGAGCCCACGCCCACCCGGAACUCGUGCUGGCCCGCAGGCACCCGCGAAGCCCUGGUUCCCGCCCAUGCCUCUCCCUCCACACCUCCCUGCAAGCUGAGGGAGCUGGCUCCGGUCUCGGCCAGCCCAGCAAGGGGCUCCCACAGUGCGGCGGCGGGCUGGAGGGCUCCUCAAGUGCCGUCAAAGUGGGAGCCCAGGCAGAGGAGGCGCCGAGAGCGAGCGUGGGCUGCGAGGGCUACCAGCACACUGUCAACUCUCACCACGGCCAUCCCUCUUUCCAAUCAAGCCGACCUGGAAAACAGAAACUCAAAGCAAAGAGCUCAUCCUACUUCCUCUUUACCCUCCUGUCUGUCACCUUGCUGAAGAAUCUCACUCAUGUGCACAUCAGUUUCAAGUUCUGUCUCUAUUCUCUGCAUGGCCACGGAGAAGCCACCAGCUGAUACCAGAGCGGCAAAGGGUUGUGUGGGAGAUGAGGAAUUCCGCCUGGAAGAGGCUGAGUGUAAGUGGACUUGAGGAGAACCAGGGGACGAUGCCCACACUGGAGCUGGAGGGGCCUGGAGCUCGGGAGAAGGGCGCUGGCUGGAGGCUGGAGUCCGGUGGUGCGAUCUCGGCUCACUGCAACCUCCGCCUCCCGGGUUCACACCAUUCUCCUGCCUCAGCCUCCGGAGUAGCUGGGGUUACAGGCCCCCAGUCCACUUUCUUGGAGUCUGCUGUGUCUGACCAAAAAGCCCAUCUUCGCCACAUCUAAAGCUGGAAGUUCAUUUGCCAGCGUUGUUUAGAGCAAAAAGAGACACAUCGUCAUGCAAAUCUGGACUCACAUUUUUGAACCUCAGCUUCUUCACCCAGAUAAUUAUGACAACAGUCCUCACCUCCAAGGAUUGAUCUGUGCCUCAGCCCUGAACCUAAUGAUGGGCAAGAAAAGAUAUUCCUGCUUCUACCCUACACAACUCUAAGGGGACAGCACACUGAAACCCUCCCAAACUGUCAAGAAGAUCUGAAAAAGUCAAUCACUUUUGCUUUGCACAUAUUUGAUAUUAGCACAGCAUGAAUCCCAGUUUGAGCCCGCAUUAAGUUAAGCCUAGGAUUCGACAUGGGCCCAUGCCUAAGACCUAGGGAAAGGAACUGCAACGGAACAAUGUCCGAAACCCAAGGCUGCUUAUUACAAUCUCGUUCAGAACAAAAGUGCAACCAGGCCGAGCGCGGUGGCUCACGCCUGUAAUCCCACCACUUUGGGAGGCUGAGGCUGGUGGAUCACGACGUCAGGAGUUCAAGACCAGCCUGGCCAACAUGGUGAAACCCUGUCUCUACUAAAAAUACAAAAAGUAGCCGAGUGUGGUGGCGGGUGCCUGUAAUCCCAGCUACUCAGGAGGCUGAGGCAGGAGAAUCGCUUGAACCCAGGACGCGGAGGUUGCAGUGAGCCAAGAUCGCGCCACUGCACUCCAGCCUGAGUGACAGAGCAAGACUCUGUCUCAAAAAAAAAAAUAAAAUAAAAAAAUAAAAGCGCGACCAGACAGCACUGCUUUCUCAUUUCUGCAAGAGUGUAGUUCAAGUCAAAGUCAGAACUGUGAUGCCCUAGACUGCCGAAAAUUGUUGGACCAACAACUGCCGGGAAGCCCAGGGGAGGCCUGGUAGGCAGGCAGAGGCCCAUGAGGAAGAGCUCUCAGCCAGUGCCACUCAGCAGAGCCCUCUGCAUGGAAUUAAUCACAACAAAGAGAAAGAAGGACCCAGAAGAAAAAUCCAAACACCUCAUGGAGUCUCCCCGAAGAGCAGCCCCCAAAGGAAAAUCCAAACACCUCAUGGAGUCUCCCCAAAGAGCAUCCCCCAAAGGAAUCGAAAAGAAUUGGAGCUGGUUGGGAUUUCCAUAGUGUGUGCCAGGGAGACGGUAAAUCAUUACUUUGAUUCUGCUAUACUAGCUUUGUUUUUACCUCCAGGCAGCUGUGAAAGAGGUAAAUAUGGAAUACAUUAACAUAUUAUUUCAGAAAAUUGUAGCCAUUAGGCUCAGCUUGCUUUUUUUUUUUUCUUUGAGACAAAGUCUCACUCUGUCACCCAGGCUACAGUGCGGAGGUGCCAUCAUAAUUCACUGCAGCUUCAAACUCCCAGCCUCAAGGAACCCUCGAGUCUUAGCUUCCAGAGUAGCUGGGACUACAGGCACAUGCCACUACUGCUGGCUAAUUUUUAAAUUUUUUGUACAGACAGGGUCCUGCUAUGUUGCCUAGGCUGGUCUUGAACUCCUGGCCUCAAGCAAUCCUCCUGCCUUGGCUUCUCAGUGUUGGGAUUACAGGCAUGAGCCACAGUGACCAGCCAGGCUCAGCUCUUUAAAACCAUUUCCUCAUCCUUCAUAAUAAGCCAUAGUUUGGACAUAGGGACUUCUCUGGUUAUGUCAAAGAAUAUUUCACAGUCCAACCAAAAAACCAAGUUAAAGGAUUAGAACACAGUUCUCUAUUCUUUCAAAUUACCAUUUUUGUGUACAUUAUCAAACCAGCCAGUUGUCAAGAACGUGGACACUAAAAUAAAAUGCAUCUGUUCAAACACCAGCGAAAGCUCUUAUAGCUGUACAACCCUGAACAAAUUCUUUAAUUUCUGGUGUCUCACUGUCCUCAUUUGUAAAGUGAAGCUAAUAAUUUUAGCUACCUUAUGGUUGUGUUGUAAGGAUGAAAAGGGUUAAUGCAUUUAAAGCACUUAGACCAAUGCCAGGCACCUACUUAAGCUUAGCUCGGUAAAAGUUAGCUAAUAAUGAAAUACACAUUCAUUCUGUGGUAAGAGACCAGCAGGAUUUGCUUUCUGGUCAUAACCCUGCUGACCAAAACAGGAUCUGGUCCAGAGAGGAGAAACUGAAGAAAUCAGCAGAAACCAACAGAUGGCAGAGAGGCUGAUCCCUGGCUGCCCUCAUUGCUUAGUUGCAUAAGAUACUUCCACCAGCACCAUCACAGUUUACAAAUGCCAUGGCAACAAACCAGAAGUUACCAUCCCUUCCAUGGCCACCACCAAGAAGUUACCAUCCCUUUCCUGGAACAUCCUAAAUAACCCACUCCUCAAUUUGCAUUAACCUGCCCCUGAGUUUGCAUAGAAUUGAAGUGUGUAAAAGUGAGUGUAAAUAUAGCUGCCAAUAGCCCAUAUGUUGCUGACUCUGGGCCCACUGCCUAUGAGUUAGCCCUGCUCCACUAGGAGCAGUACCAGUCAAUAAAAGAUUGCUAACACUACUGGCAUGUCCUUGAAUUCUUUCCUGAGCAAAGCCAAGAACCCUCCUGAGCUAAGCCCCUAUUUUGGGGCAUCAAUUCCACGAGUACUUGUGGAGUGCAUGUACAUGAUGAACACUUUUGCACACUGGAGAUAUGGGAGAGAACAAACUAUACAAGAUGAUCUUCCUCAGGGAGCUUAUAUUCUAAAUAUUCUCUAAGUGGAUCAAUAGCUCAAUACUCCAGUGUACCAUAGUUAAAUACUUCCAUACAAUCAGGUAUUCAGAGUUCAUAGCUUCCCGUUGUUACAAAUAGCAUUAGUAACAAUCAAAAUGUCUGCCUAGAUUUUGAAUUUUUUUAGAAUGGACAUCCAGAAAUUGAACUAUUGGGUCAAAAGUUUCCGACAUUAUUUCAAGGAAUAUAUACCUGGUCUUUAAAAUAAUUCAGUUAGCAUCUAUCUGUAAAAUAUAAA